rnacentral:rRNA from 1 species
GAUGAACGCUGGCGGCGUGCUUAACACAUGCCAGUCGAACGAAGCAUUUAGAACAGAUUACUUCGGUUUGAAGUUCUUUAUGACUGAGUGGCGGACGGGUGAGUAACGCGUGGGUAACCUGCCUUGUACUGGGGGAUAGCAGCUGGAAACGGCUGGUAAUACCGCAUAAGCGCACAAUGUUGCAUGACAUGGUGUGAAAAACUCCGGUGGUAUAAGAUGGACCCGCGUCUGAUUAGCUAGUUGGUGAGAUAACAGCCCACCAAGGCGACGAUCAGUAGCCGACCUGAGAGGGUGACCGGCCACAUUGGGACUGAGACACGGCCCAGACUCCUACGGGAGGCAGCAGUGGGGAAUAUUGCACAAUGGAGGAAACUCUGAUGCAGCGACGCCGCGUGAGUGAAGAAGUAAUUCGUUAUGUAAAGCUCUAUCAGCAGGGAAGAUAGUGACGGUACCUGACUAAGAAGCUCCGGCUAAAUACGUG